UACGUAGGAGGCAAGCGUUGUCCGGAUUUAUUGGGCGUAAAGAGCGUGUAGGCGGCUAGGUAGGUCCGUUGUGAAAACUCGAGGCUCAACCUCGAGACGCCGAUGGAAACCAUCUGGCUAGAGUCCGGAAGAGGAGAGUGGAAUUCCUGGUGUAGCGGUGAAAUGCGCAGAUAUCAGGAAGAACACCCGUGGCUAAGGCGGCUCUCUAGUACGGUACUGACGCUGAGACGCGAAAGCGUGGGGAGCGAACAGG
rnacentral:rRNA from 1 species